UGGAGGAAGGAUGUGAGACGCUGAAACCAAGCUCGUGGAGCUUGUUUAAGACCGUAUAAGGAUCGAUUUAAUUUACAAACAUAUUCCGGAUGUGUAGGAUCUUGAAAACCCGAAGGCUGCUCCACGUAUAUUUCAUUGUCAAUGAAUCCGUGAAGGAAGGCAUUUGAGAUGCCAAGCUCAUGAAUAGGCCACUUUGAAGUUGUGGCAAUGGAAAGCACUGUGCAAAUUGUUGUUGGUUUAACCACAGGGCUGAAAGUUUCAUUAUAAUCGAUUCCAGGCUAUUGAGAGAAGCCCUUAGCUACAAGUCAUGCCUUGUAGUGUUCAAUCUCACCAUUAGCCUUCCUUGUAAUCCGAAAUAUCCACUUGUUGCCAAUAAUGUUUUUACCAGAAGGUUUAGGGACCAAAGUCCAUGUUUGAUUCUGAAGUAAAGCAUUAAUUUCGGAUUGCAUUGCACUUCUCCAUUCAGCAUAAGGCUUGGCUUAGUUGCAAGUUUUGUGUUCAACAGAGAGGUAAGAAAUAUUUUUGGUGGCUAAUAAGGCUUGUCGUUUAUUCAUGGUGGUAUGUCUUAAUGUCAUUGGGUGGGUUCUUUGAGGGGAAGAGGUCAUUAAGGUAGAUGGGUGUGUUGGCUGUGGAUAAGAGGUAAGAUUAACUACAAGUUGUAAUCCCUUAGAAUCAGAUGAGGGAGAGUUAGGUAACACACUGGAAUUUGAAUUUUGUGGAGAAUAGGAACUUGGUGAGUUAGAAGUGUUGGAUGAGGAUGAGGGAGGAGAGAGAGGAUCAGGUAUUGGUGUUUGAGUAGGAGAGAGAGCGGCUUGAAGAGACACGGGAAGGGGAUUUAGAAGAAGAUGAAGAUGUAACAGAAUUAUUUAAAUUAGAAAUUUGAGGAUUACGAUGAGGAGAAAUACCUGAAGUCUGCAGGGCUGAAGAAGGUGGAGUAUUACUAUCAAUAACAAGCCACCGCGAAGAGGGUAAAUUUGACGGGGACUCUUGACUGAUAGACUUAUAUAAAAAUAAUUUGGGAUUAAAAACCAUAUGUCUUGCAAGAUAAAUUCGGCCUGUUGUAAAAUCAAGACAUUUGCUGCCACAAUGAGAGGGACUUAGGCCUAAAUAAAUACACAGUUUACUUCUAAAAUCAAACUUGUGUCUGUUGUGAGGACGCAACAGAGGGUAAACUGCACAGCCAAAGGGUUUAACAUCAACAUAAGCUGGAUUUUUAUCAUAUAAAACAGAAAAGGAGCUUUUAUUUUUAAGAACUGAAGAUGGCAAAAUGUUAAUAGGCGGUUUCAAAGGCAUAAUUCCAAUAUUUUUUUGGAACAUUAACAUGAGCAAGUAAUGUUAAAGCAGUAUCAACUAAAUGACAUAUUUUACGUUCAGCAAUGCCAUUUUGUUCAUGUGUGUAAGGACAAGCGAUGCGAUGUUGAAUACCGUUUUGUUGAAAAUAUGGAUUAAGCUUUUGAAAUUCACCACCCCAGUCAGAAUGGAAGGACAGAAUUUUGCUAUUAAAUUGACAGUGAGUCAUACUUUGAAAAUUGAAGAACAUAGACGAAACAUCACUUUUAUUUUUAAGCAAAUAUAUCCAAGUAAAACAGGAAAAAUCAUCUACAAGAAUCAACACAUAACGAUGACCCAAACAUGAUAAAAGUGGUGUUGGACCCCAUACAUCGGCAUGAAUAAUUUGAAAGGGAGCAGAGCUCCGAUGUUCAAUAGAAGCUAAUGGGACACAAGCUAAUUUGCCUAAAAGGCAAGACGAACACGGUUGAAAGGACUGACUAGCACAAGGUAAUUGAAAUUCUUUUAUUAAUUUUAACACUGUCCGACAAGCAGGAUGGCCUAAGGCAGCAUGCCAAUCGUUGAUGGAUGGAAUUUUAAAAUUCAUAGCAUGUUUGACAUGAGGCUGAAAGGUGUAUACUCCAGCUUCACUUGGGCCCUGCAUGAGAAUUUUCUUUGACACCUGAUCCUUGACAACAAAAUAAGAGGGUCAAAAUUCAAAAAAACAAUUGCUAUCUCGUGUGAAUUUUUGGACUGAAAGCAGAUUUUUAACGAUGUGAGGAACACAGAGAACAUUAUUUAAUUGAAGGGGACCACAAGAGGAAGAAAGAGAAGUCUUACCAGUGUGCGUGAUAUCUAAACCAUGUCCAUUACCAACAUGGAGUUGAUCAUUACCUUGGUAUUCAUUGGCAAUACUGAGGGUGGAGAGAUCAAGUGUGAUGUGGUAGUUGACAGCGGUGUCGGGAUAGCAUGGCAUUGGAGAAUUCAUGCGUGUGUAAUGAGCAACUGGUGCAGAUGGAGAAGAGGCCAUCAUGGUCGGGCUAGCUUUAGAAAAAUUGGCAGUGGAAGCAGCUGGUUGAUUUGGAGAAUUGGAUCUUGAGUAAUUGGUGUAGCGUCUUCUACAAUUGUCAGCAGUAUGAUUUCGAAACUCACAUAUUUGACAAGGGCCAUGAGUUCGUGAAGCACCAUUAUUGCUGCGUUUCUGAUUUGGAUGUGAAGGAGUGGGCAAAAGUGGGGGAUUAGCAUUAGAGCAGGCAGAAAAAUUGACUUAUGGAAUUUCUAUGGAGCUUUUAAGAAGGAUUUCAUGAGCAACUAAUUGCCCAUGCAAUUCUGCAAAGGAGAUAGGUUCUCAACAAAGAUUCAAGGCUAUAAUAAUGGGGUGAAACUCUGAACCAAUGUUACGGUAAAUUAUAGCAUUGAACUCAGCUGGAGUUAAGGUGGAAAUGAAGAAGGCAUGCCUUUCUAGAGCCUUGUGUCUAGAACAAGGCAUAUAAGGCGCUAGGAUUGGAUGCCUGGUGGUGUGCUUUGAACCUAAGACGCAACUUUAAUAAUUACGCAAUAAAUCAAAUACUUAUGAUGUUGAUACUUUUGAAAUAUUCUCCAACAAGUUACUUGAUCUAUAAUAACCAACUAGGGAAAAGAGCAAACCACUUUAUUGUAUACUGUCUGAUAUUGCUUAUUCAUUUCUUUAGGCCAUUUCACAUAAGACUCCCUUGUCAAUUUUACAAAAACCACAAGUAUGGUCUGAUUUCUGUUUAUUGCCCCUUUCAAACUCCUCUUUGCUCAACUUAACUCAACAAAGACUUCCCCGAACAAAUCUCCAAUAACAACACCAAAUCCAAUUUUAUCAAUAACUUUUCUACCCUUUUGUUUGUCAGAAGAAGGGGUUGGGGAAGGAGGUGUGAACAAUCGCAAUAAGUCAUCAAGUCGUACUGCACAUUCAACAUUUUCUUCUUUUAAAUAGUUUGUCUUAAUUUCAAAAGAUAUCAUUUUGCAUCUUCCAAUAUAGAACACCUCAACUUCUUAUACAGCUUGCUUGCAUCACAAACAUGGAACUACAGUUUCCCAACUAUCUAAUCCAUUAAACGUGUCUAGGCUCGUAUUCACCAUACCAAAAACCAUUAUCUAUAAAUAUAUACACCAAAUCCAGGAUAUAAUUUUCUUAAAACUGAAACCAACAUGUGUAGCAAAACCACCAUGUGUAGCAAUGAACAACUCGAUAAAAAUCCAAAAAAGAGAGCAGUCAUUAUCCAAAAUAAAGCUAAAAAAAUUCACAGAAACAAGCUCAUAAUAUACCCCUAGAAAAUCAAAUCGUGUUCUACACAAAGUCCCCCAAUCUCGUCCAAUUGAAAAGAAAUCGAAUCAAUCGCAAUUAUGUUAUCAAACCAAAGAAAACUAAAAUAAACGCAGUCGCUAAGUAGCAGUUACGCAAAAUCCCAAAAAUAUCAUCUCUCUCUUUUCCUUCAUUUGCCCUCGCUUUCUCGGCAAACAAACAUAGCUAUAAAUUAAUAAACAGGUUUAUGAAAAAGUUCAUGAAAUUUGAAACAGUUACUUGCCUGGGUUUUUUUCUUUUUCCUUUUCUUUUCCUUUUUUCAAUUGGGGGAGGGAGCGUGUAUUUGGAAACCCUAGAGAAGAAAAAGAGUUUCAGGGAGAGAGAUGUCCUGUUGAAAUCUGAUGAAGAACAAAUCGAUAGAUAACUCUCACGGGUUUUAAGAGAUCGGAAAGAAAAGAGAGAUCCGUGCUGGUGAAAAGCUACGAUUUUAGAGUGUUGGCUCUUUAGAUCGCGCAG
rnacentral:misc_RNA from 1 species